CCUACGGGAGGCAGCAGUAGGGAAUCUUUCACAAUGGGCGAAAGCCUGAUGGAGCAACGCCGCGUGCAGGAUGAAGGCCUUCGGGUUGUAAACUGCUUUUAUAAGCGAGAAAUAUGAUGGUAACUUAUGAAUAAGGAUCGGCUAACUACGUGCCAGCAGCCGCGGUCAUACGUAGGAUCCGAGCAUUAUCCGGAGUGACUGGGUGUAAAGAGUUGCGUAGGUGGCAUAAUAAGUAGCUAGUGAAAUCUGGUGGCUCAACCAUUCAGACGAUUAGCUAAACUGUUAAGCUCGAGACCGUUAGGGGUAACUGGAAUUUCUAGUGUAGGAGUGAAAUCCGUAGAUAUUAGAAGGAACACCAAUAGCGUAGGCAGGUUGCUGGGACGGUUCUGACACUAAGGCACGAAAGCGUAGGGAGCAAACGGGAUUAGAUACCCCUGUAGUC
rnacentral:rRNA from 1 species